AGGGGGAUAACACUUGGAAACAGGUGCUAAUACCGCAUAAUAGUCGACACCGCAUGGUGUUGAUUUGAAAGACGCUUUCGGGUGUCACUGAUGGAUGGACCCGCGGUGCAUUAGCUAGUUGGUGAGGUAACGGCUCACCAAGGCGAUGAUGCAUAGCCGACCUGAGAGGGUGAUCGGCCACACUGGGACUGAGACACGGCCCAGACUCCUACGGGAGGCAGCAGUAGGGAAUCUUCSGCAAUGGACGAAAGUCUGACCGAGCAACGCCGCGUGAGUGAAGAAGGUUUUCGGAUCGUAAAACUCUGUUGUUAGAGAAGAACAAGUAGGAGAGUAACUGCUCUUACCUUGACGGUAUCUAACCAGAAAGCCACGGCUAACUACGUGCCAGCAGCCGCGGUAAUACGUANGUGGCAAGCGUUGUCCGGAUUUAUUGGGCGUAAAGCGAGCGC
rnacentral:rRNA from 1 species